rnacentral:tRNA from 1 species
GCCGGGGUGGCGAAAUGGCAGACGCACGGGACUUAAAAUCCUGGGCUCUUCGGAGCGUGUGGGUUCAAAUCCCUCCCCCGGCACCA